rnacentral:rRNA from 1 species
CCUACGGGGCGCAGCAGUGAGGAAUAUUGGUCAAUGGUCGGGAGACUGAACCAGCCAAGCCGCGUGAGGGAGGAAGGUACAGAGUAUCGUAAACCUCUUUUGUCAGGGAACAAAGGCGGGGACGUGUCCCCGGAUGAGUGUACCUGAAGAAAAAGCAUCGGCUAACUCCGGGCCAGCAGCCGCGGUAAUACGGAGGAUGCGAGGGUUAUCCGGAUUUAUUGGGUUUAAGGGGUGCGCAGGCGGUCUGUUAGGUCAGCGGGAAAAGCCGGGGGCUCAACCCCGGCCCGCCGUUGAAACUGGCAGUCUCGAGUUGGAGAGAGGUAUGCGGAAUGCGCGGUGUAGCGGUGAAAUGCAUAGAUAUCGCGCAGAACUCCGAUUGCGAAGGCAGCAUGCCGGCUCCACACUGACGCUGAGGCACGAAAGCGUGGGUAUCGAACAGGAUUAGAUACCCCAGUAGUC